AAAUUUAAAGAUCUGUCACUUUACUGACUUUCGUUAAAAGCACCUUGCACUUUUAACGUCCACGAUAGAGGAUCCUUUAAUAAAAGAUCGCUUAUUUGUGCGUUGCAAUAACUCUCGGACCGCUCGGACUUGUCUGAACCGUUCGUUUAUUACAUCCAGAUUGAGGGGAAUACACAUCUGGGGCGUUCGGCAGAGAUAUCUGAGCAAUCAGAUGUCAAUCUUUUUCGUCGGACGUUUUCGACCUAGCAAAACGAUUUUAUCCACAGAGUUUACCUUUGUCUAUGGAUUAUUGGAUUUUAUCUGUCUUUGAUGUUUGUUUAUUUAUAAAAAUUAACAUUUCGUCGUAGUUUGUAUUGAAAAAUUUCAAUACCUAACUUGUUAUACUUCUUUAAUUGGAUUUUAAAUAAAAUUAUGGCUAUGGAAUGCAGAUAACAAAUGAAUAGGCAGUGUGUAUAUUUUUGGAAUGAGAUAUCUGGUGGUGACUUUGGACAAUAUCAUUAGUAAGACUUUGGGGACAGAUAAUUUUUUCGUGUAAUUAUAUAAAGCGUUGUGCAUGUUCAGCAUAUUCAGAAGAGCGAUGGACAUUCAAGCUAGGGAUAUGAAGAAAAAGGCCAAGCUUUUAAAAAAGCUGACCAUGUUUACAAUAUAUGAAGUGGACUGGUUUCAUUACUUCCAAAUAAAUGAGACAGACUUCAGUGAAUUUUCCACCUUAUUAUAUCGAAAUUAUGUAAUAGAUGAAGCAGAAGAAAUUUACUCCUUCAAGGGUAUCGACUGGGACGUCAGUGUCCCAGAAGUAUUUUAUAAAUGUCCUGUUCGCCAAUAAAUAUACCCAGCAUGGAAUCAAUUGGGAAUAUAAAGCCAGAUAAGUGUAUUCAAGAGAAAAAAAUACCAUAUUCAGGAAAAGGACUUGAAGUUUGUCAGUUGGACCCGAGGCUUGUUUCUUUUCUGAAUGGUGUUAUUUUCAAGAAUGGGGAGUCAGUGAAAUUAUUGGAAAUCAAAUGUCUAUUCAUUGGUCAAAUUAUUUCUGCUGAAAAUACUGAGCACCAUUGCCAAUAUUCGAGAAGAGGAAAAGCCAGCUAAUUUGAAAGAAUGAAUAAACAUUAUGCUAGAGUCUGAUUAAGUAUGGCAAUUUUGAAUUUGAAAAAUUGCGAGUCAGUGAAAUUAUUGGAAAUCAAAUGUCUCUUCAUCGGUCAAAUUAUUUCUGCUGAAAAUACUGAGCACCAUUGCCAAUAUUCGAGAAGAGGAAAAGCCAGCUAAUUUGAAAGAAUGAAUAAACAUUAUGCUAGAGUCUGAUUAAGUAUGGCAAUUUUGAAUUUGAAAAAUUGCGAGUCAGUGAAAUUAUUGGAAAUCAAAUGUCUAUUCAUCGGUCAAAUUAUUUCUGCUGAAAAUACUGAGCACCAUUGCCAAUAUUCGAGAAGAGGAAAAGCCAGCUAAUUUGAAAGAAUGAAUAAACAUUAUGCUAGAGUCUGAUUAAGUAUGGCAAUUUUGAAUUUGAAAAAUUGCGAGUCAGUGAAAUUAUUGGAAAUCAAAUGUCUAUUCAUCGGUCAAAUUAUUUCUGCUUAAAAUACUGAGCACCAUUGCCAAUAUUCGAGAAGAGGAAAAGCCAGCUAAUUUGAAAGAAGGAAUAAACAUUAUGCUAGAGUCUGAUUAAGUAUGGCAAUUUUGAAUUUGAAAAAUUGCGAGUCAGUGAAAUUAUUGGAAAUCAAAUGUCUAUUCAUCGUUCAAAUUAUUUCUGCUGAAAAUACUGAGCACCAUUGCCAAUAUUCGAGAAGAGGAAAAGCCAGCUAAUUUGAAAGAAUGAAUAAACAUUAUGCUAGAGUCUGAUUAAGUAUAGCAAUUAUGAAUUUGAAAAAUUGCGACUCUAUAGUGCAAAAAAAUAAUUCUUAAAACUUGAAAUGAUUUAUUUUAAAAAUAUGCUUUACACAUUGUGUAGCAUGAAAGUUUAAAUUUUUCAAUUAGAAAGAUAUUUUUCCAAGCCUUAAUUAUGCUGUAAUAAGACCAUCCAGAAUAAGAAAAGUUCCGAAUCAUACAUAUCUGAAGUUAUACAUGUUAUAACUUCCAGAUUAUUGAAAAAUUUGAGUCCAGUUGUUAUUAGUAAGAGAGUAAAGGAUUUGCUAUUGGAUCAUAGAAUAUACUGGUUGAGUGAUUUAUUUAGGAAUCAUUUUUGUAAAUAUUAUUUGAUAAUUUGUAACUACAAACAUAUUUAUGUUUUCAUUACAAUGACUAUUAAUACUACUCAUUUAUAGUUUAAGAUUUUUGGAUUGACAAGCCAUGUAAACUUUUGAUGGAGUAUGUUUUUAUGAAUUUUUUGUGUGCAAAUGAAUUAUUAUUAUUAUCAAAUACUGCAUUGAUUUUACAUAUCAUUUAUUAAUCCUAUGGCAGUAAGUUAUCCCAUCACACAUUCCCUUGUCACCAUAGUCCGUUAAAUUACCGAUGAAAAUAAAAAUCACUUGGAUCAAUUUGAUAUGAAAAUUCCAUUUUCCUUCUUAAACUUCUAUUGAAACAUUUUUGUCUUCAUAAAACGAAUGGAGAUUUUAGAAGUGAUUCCUCCUUGGAAAUAUACUUUCUACUAGAUCAGACCAUUUUUCUUUUAUAUCUUUUCAUUUUUGUAGAGGAAUUAGGUAUCCGUUUAUUAAGUAGAAUGAGAUUAGAUAAACGUAACAUAAUUUAAACUAAUAAUAAUAAUAAAACGAAUUUAUUCAGGAAUUUGGUUUAAAUUCCUGAAGAAGUUUAAGAAGGAAAAUGGAAUUUUCAUAUCAAAUUGAUCCAAGUGAUUUUUAUUUUCAUCGGUAAUUUAACGGACUAUGGUGACAAGGGAAUGUGAGAUGGGAUAACUUACUGCCAUAGGAUAAAUAAAUGAUAUGUAAAAUCAAUGCAGUAUUUGUAUAAUAAUAAUUUAUUUGCACACAAAAAAUUCAUAAAAACAUACGCCAUCAAAAGUUUACAUGGCUUGUCAAUCAAAAAAUCUUAAACUAUAAAUGAGUAGUAUUAAUAGUCAUUGUAAUGAAAACAUAAAUAUGUUUGUAGUUACAAAUUAUCAAAUAAUAUUUACAAAAAUGA